AGUCGAGCGGACAGAUGGGAGCUUGCUCCCUGAUGUUAGCGGCGGACGGGUGAGUAACACGUGGGUAACCUGCCUGUAAGACUGGGAUAACUCCGGGAAACCGGGGCUAAUACCGGAUGCUUGUUUGAACCGCAUGGUUCAAACAUAAAAGGUGGCUUCGGCUACCACUUACAGAUGGACCCGCGGCGCAUUAGCUAGUUGGUGAGGUAACGGCUCACCAAGGCGACGAUGCGUAGCCGACCUGAGAGGGUGAUCGGCCACACUGGGACUGAGACACGGCCCAGACUCCUACGGGAGGCAGCAGUAGGGAAUCUUCCGCAAUGGACGAAAGUCUGACGGAGCAACGCCGCGUGAGUGAUGAAGGUUUUCGGAUCGUAAAGCUCUGUUGUUAGGGAAGAACAAGUGCCGUUCAAAUAGGGCGGCACCUUGACGGUACCUAACCAGAAAGCCACGGCUAACUACGUGCCAGCAGCCGCGGUAAUACGUAGGUGGCAAGCGUUGUCCGGAAUUAUUGGGCGUAAAGGGCUCGCAGGCGGUUUCUUAAGUCUGAUGUGAAAGCCCCCGGCUCAACCGGGGAGGGUCAUUGGAAACUGGGGAACUUGAGUGCAGAAGAGGAGAGUGGAAUUCCACGUGUAGCGGUGAAAUGCGUAGAGAUGUGGAGGAACACCAGUGGCGAAGGCGACUCUCUGGUCUGUAACUGACGCUGAGGAGCG
rnacentral:rRNA from 2 species